rnacentral:rRNA from 1 species
UACGAAGGGGGCUAGCGUUGCUCGGAUUUACUGGGCGUAAAGGGCGCGUAGGCGGACAGUUUAGUCAGAGGUGAAAGCCCGGGGCUCAACCUCGGAAUUGCCUUUGAUACUGGCUGUCUUGAGUACGGGAGAGGUGUGUGGAACUCCGAGUGUAGAGGUGAAAUUCGUAGAUAUUCGGAAGAACACCAGUGGCGAAGGCGACACACUGGCCCGUUACUGACGCUGAGGCGCGAAAGCGUGGGGAGCGAACAGG